AAACUAAAACUUUUGUUCACCAGCUGCUCAGCUUUUCAGUCUGGGUCUGAGCUGAAACCUGCUGCAAGUCUUUGACGGUACCAAAUUACAUAUAUAUCUGUCAAAAUGAUGUAGGACCUAAAGUCUCUCUGUAAGUUGAUCCUUUUGACCCCAUGAUUAGGAGCUUCACAAUGUGGUACCACACCUGGAAACCUCCAGAACAGGAUCUCAAGGAAACACAGGAAAUUCCUGAAACAGCAAAACCCCCUGUGUGAAGACGUCUGUUAUUCCUUUGUGUAUCAGGAGCAUCACUGUUAAUUAACUGUUGACACACUUCAAACAGCUUGGUUGGCAAUGUCCUUUUUGAAAAAAGAAGAGCCAGGUGUGUUUUUCAUGAUGAACUAGACAAUGCUGUCACAAGUUUACCUCUACAUCUUAUUGCCUUGGAAAAAUUUCCUGCAUAUCGUGGCACAAGAUAGUUGGCUUUCCAGGCAGCAGUUGGCGUUGUGAAUCAGUCAUCUCAGCAUGUGUCUCCAAGAUCCCACAGCAGGGGAAAAAAGAGGUGGAGGGUCACAUGCCUGGUGUUAUAUACUUUGAGGCAGAGGUUGUAGGUGCCAUUUCUGCUCAGAGCUCAUGGACCAGAACAAAGCCAUGCAUACCUGAGAGAGGACCAGAAAAUAUUCUGAAGCGCAUGGCUGUUUGGUGAGCAGUAAAUGUUUCUGUUACAACAGGUUUUGAAAAACUUCAAAUGUACUCCUACUAGGCCUACUUCACACCACUAAACUCUAUACUUCUUGUUUCUUGAUGGCAUAUUAUGCUGAUGUUUUCUAUCAUAGUGUCCAGCACAAAACAAGAGCUCAAUACAUAUACUUAAUAGCGCAUUUAGAUCUAAGAGUUUCACUUUAUCAUAAGAUUUUAGUACCCAUGUAGCUGUUGGGCCACAUCAGGAAAAUGUAACUGCUACUACAACUGCAAAGAAAAUUUAACUAAUUGUAUGCUCAUCCCAGCUUCAGGUUUUUGUUUUGUUUUGUUUGCUAGCUUCUUUUUAUUUCAUAAUGUUUGCUUUGUUUCUUGCCCUUGAGCAGAGGUUCAUUUCUAAUUUUCACUGGAAUUAGAAAAACAGUUGUGUCCAUAUGCAAUAACAGUGUUUCAAAUUCUUUGGGGAUUUGCCCACAAUGUCUGCAGUCAUAUUGUGACACCAGUUGUGAUGCCAAUCUCUGUAAAUCAGACUUAUUCCCAGUGAGACAUUAUAUAUUUUUGCAGCCAAUACAAUCUAUUUUAUAGUGAUUUAUGGCAUUGUCUCUGAAGAGGAUACUUUGGUUUGUGUCUUGUUUUGUCAGUUUUCAACACUUCGAUUAUGGCCAGGCUAAUUAAUAUUUUUGUGUCUAGGUUUCCUCAUUUCUAAAACAAAGAUGUUUCUUUCUAUAGCUUCAUGUUGACAAUUAAAUUAUAUAAUUUAUGUUACUCAACUAGCAAGUAAAUUGAUGUAUAGUGUAUUUAUAAAUGAUAGAUACUAUCUUUACGUUAAUUUUUAUUAUUGUCAUCAUUAUCAUCAAUUUUCAGGUCCAUGUUCUGACUAAAAAGAAGCCACACUCUGUCUUAAACAAGCUUUGUAAGAAAAUUUUGAAGUAUUUACUUAUAUCUAACCAUUCAUUCCACAUUUUCUCCCAAAUAACACUCUAAUAUCUUGAGACAUCUUGUCUAGGGCCAGAUUUCAUAAAUGCUUGUGAGGCAGGAGAAUAGGGUCUGGAGGCAGGAAACCUAAAGCCAAUUCACACUGACUUCCUAUAACUAAAUCUAAAGGAAAAUCCCAACUUUCCUCGCCCAAGUAA